rnacentral:rRNA from 1 species
AGUGAACGCUGGCGGUAGGCCUAACACAUGCAAGUCGAACGGCAGCACAGUAAGAGCUUGCUCUUACGGGUGGCGAGUGGCGGACGGGUGAGGAAUACAUCGGAAUCUACUUUUUCGUGGGGGAUAACGUAGGGAAACUUACGCUAAUACCGCAUACAACCUACGGGUGAAAGCAGGGGAUCUUCGGACCUUGCGCGAUUGAAUGAGCCGAUGUCGGAUUAGCUAGUUGGCGGGGUAAAGGCCCACCAAGGCGACGAUCCGUAGCUGGUCUGAGAGGAUGAUCAGCCACACUGGAACUGAGACACGGUCCAGACUCCUACGGGAGGCAGCAGUGGGGAAUAUUGGACAAUGGGCGCAAGCCUGAUCCAGCCAUACCGCGUGGGUGAAGAAGGCCUUCGGGUUGUAAAACCCUUUUGUUGGGAAAGAAAAGCAGCAGGUUAAUACCCCGCUGUUCUGACGGUACCCAAAGAAUAAGCACCGGCUAACUUCGUG